GGGGUUUUGCCAUGUUGGCCAGGCUGCUCUUGAUCUGCCUGCCUCAGCCUCCCAAAGUGCUGGGAUUACAGGCGUGGGCCACCACAUCCGGCCCCCUGUGUGCUUUUAAAGAACAAACAUGAGGCUGGGCAUGGGGGCUCGUGCCUAUAAUCCCAGCACUUUAGGAGGCUGAGGCAGGAGGAUUGCUUGAGGCCAGGAGUUCGAGACCAGCCUGGGUAACAUAGUGAGACCUCGUCUCUAAAAAAAUUUAAAAAUAAGAUAAAAAUCGGGCCAGGCGCAGUGGCUCACGCCUGUAAUCCCAGCACUUUGGGAGGCUGAGUCGGGUGGAUCACAAGGCCAGGAGUUCAAGACCAGCCUGGCCAAGAUGGUGAAGCCCCAUCUCUACUAAAAAUACAAAAAUUAGCCGGGUGUGUUGGCGGGUGCCUGUGAUCCCAGCUACUGGAGAGGCUGAGGCAGAGAGUUGCUUGAACUCGGGAGGUGGAGGUUGCAGUGAGCCAAGAUUGCGCCACUGCACUCCAGCCUGGGUGACAGAGCAAGACUCCAUUUCAAAAAAAAAAAAGAAAAGAUAAAAAUUAGCGGGAUCAUGAUGCAUCCUAGCUACUUAGGAGACUGAGACAGGAGGAUCAGUUGAGCCCAGGAAGUCAAGCCUGCAGUGAGCUGUGAUCACACCACUGCAUAUCAGCCUAGGUGACAGAGCGAGACCCUGUCUCAAAAACACAUUUAAGGCUGGGCAUGGUGGGCUCACAUCUGUAAUCCCAGCACUUUGGGAAGUCAAGGCAAGUGGAUCACCUGAGGUCAGGAGUUCGAGACCAGCCUGGCCAACACGGUGAAAACCCUUCUCUACUAAAAAUACAAAAAUUAGCUGGGCAUGGUGGCAGUCGCCUAUAAUCGCAGCUACGCGGGAGGCUGAGGCAGGAGAAUCGCUUGAACCUGGUGGUGGAGGAGGGGGUGGCAGAGGUUGCAGUGAGCCGAGAUUGUGCCACUGCACUCCAGCCUGGGUGAAAGAGCGAAACUCUGUCUCAAAAUAAACAAUAUUUAAAAAUAAAAUGGACAUGAAAGGAAACCCUCCACGCAUCUUAUCCUGUAACUUGCUUUUGCUCCCUCAUUCUUAUCUUUUUGAAACCCAUUUAUGCUGGUUAAUUAAGAUCUAGUUCAUUCUUUUCCUGUUGAGUCUCACAGGGCCCGGCACAGUGGCUCACACCUAUAAUUCC
rnacentral:lncRNA from 1 species